GUCGACGAUUCCACAGAGCCAAGAUAGGGUUCUUCUUUUUAACCCUAAAUCACCAAAAAUUAACCAAAUUCAUGGGACAAAUCAAGUCUAAAUGGAAAAUCAAGCUGAAAUUAGUGAUCACCCAAGUGAAGGGAUCACAAGUUUGACGCUUAACGAGCUAGGUGGAGGCUUGGGAAAGAAGCGGGUUAAACAAAUUAAGUAGGAAGAAAAGCGUGAAUUGGAUGCAAGGUGUUGUUGAAUGAUGUUGAUUGCUAGGAUGCAUGCUCACA